rnacentral:rRNA from 1 species
CAACGGAGGAAAAGAAACCAACAGGAUUGCCUCAGUACCGGCGAGUGAAGCGGCAAGAGCUCAGAUUUGACAUCGCCUCGGCGAGUUGUAAAUUGCAGAUUGGAGUCUUUGUGCCGGCGUGUGUCUAAGUCCCUUGGAACAGGGCGCCAUUGAGGGUGAGAGCCCCGUGCGGCACGCGUAUAAGCUUUAAGACCCUUCUGACGAGUCGAGUUGUUUGGGAAUGCAGCUCUAAGUGGGUGGUAAAUUCCAUCUAAGGCUAAAUACUGGCGAGAGACCGAUAGCGAACAAGUACUGUGAAGGAAAGAUGAAAAGCACUUUGAAAAGAGAGUGAAACAGCACGUGAAAUUGUUGAAAGGGAAGGGUAUUGGGCUCAACAUGGGGACUGCGCACCGUUCAUUCUUGUAGGCGGCGCUAUGUGCGGUUUAUGGGCCAGCAUCAGUUUAUACCGGGGGAGAAUGGGGGGUGGAACGUGGCUACAUCGGAGUGUUAUAGCCUCUCUCAGAUGCCGACGAGGCGGGGAUUGAGAUCUGACUCUCGGAAAAGAGGCAAUCAUUGUGGGAAC